rnacentral:rRNA from 1 species
AUUGAACGCUGGCGGCAGGCCUAACACAUGCAAGUCGAGCGAGCGGCGGACGGGUGAGUAAUGUCUGGGAAACUGCCUGAUGGAGGGGGAUGACUACUGGAAACGGUAGCUACUACCGCAUACCAUCAGAUGUGCCCAGAUGGGAUUAGCUAGUGGGUGGGGUAACGGCUAACCUAGGCGACGAUCCCUAGCUGGUCUGAGAGGAUGACCGGCCACACUGGAACUGAGACACGGUCCAGACUCCUACGGGAGGCAGCAGUGGGGAAUAUUGCACAAUGGGCGCAAGCCUGAUGCAGCCAUGCCGCGUGUGUGAAGAAGGCCUUCGGGUUGUAAAGCACUUUCAGCGAGGAGGCGUUACCCGCAGAAGAAGCACCGGCUAACUCCGUGCCAGCAGCCGCGGUAAUUC